AGCGAACGCUGGCGGCAGGCUUAACACAUGCAAGUCGAGCGGGCAUCCUUGUGGUGUCAGCGGCAGACGGGUGAGUAACGCGUGGGAACGUGCCCUUCGGUUCGGAAUAACUCAGGGAAACUUGAGCUAAUACCGGAUACGUGCGAGAGCAGAAAGGUUUAUCUGCCGAAGGAUCGGCCCGCGUCUGGUUAGAUGGUUGGUGAGGUUAUGGCUCACCAAGGCGAGGAUCAGUAGCUGGUCUGAGAGGAUGAUCAGCCACACUGGGGCUGAGACACGGCCCAGACUCCUACGGGAGGCAGGAGUGGGGAACAGUGGACAGCGGGGGCAGCCCUGAACCAGCCAGGCCGGGUGAGUGAUGUCGGUCUUGGGGUUGUAAAGCUCUUUUCUCCGGGACGAUAAUGACGGUACCGGAGGAAUAAGCCCCGGCUAACUUCGUG
rnacentral:rRNA from 1 species